rnacentral:tmRNA from 1 species
GGGGAUGAUCGGCUUCGACGGGGAAGGCUGGUCCUAGACUGCAAGCCGAGCACGCUUUACACCUCGUAAAACUGGAAGCAAAACAAUAAGUGGCGAACAAACCGCUUCUUACAACGCACUCCCGAUGGCUGCAUAGUAGCCGUUAGAGUGUAGAUGGUUCCUUAAUCAGAACCCCGUCCGCUUUAUUUCUUUCGUCGGCUGAAUAAAGUUGGGCGACAUGAUCGUCGACGUGCUGCUCCUCGAUGCUGCUAGAGGAGAGUAAGCGGCUCUUUCGGGAGUCAGUGGCCCGCUGAUGGCUGACCCUGUUGGCCGGGGUGCCCAUCAGCUAAACGCUAAAAUUGGCUGACUAAGCUUGUAGACGUUUAGAGGCUGAAUUUUUCGGACGCGGGUUCAAUUCCCGCCAUCUCCACCU